GGAUCAGGUGAUGAGGAAACUGCAACAAUAUGAACCAAUAAUCUACUUCGUGAUUCUUAGUAUUUAAGUCUCUGAUGAUC